CGAUACACGUCGCGCAAAAGUUUUCCGAGAUGCCCGGCCGCGUUCGCAGUCGGGGAACGUAUCACGUUCGCUCCGCAGAGCGUAAUACAUUACUACGGGCGGCGCACCCUUGCGCGGGCCGUCGCCAGAAGGACACUGCUCGAUUCCUCCCCCCCCCCACCAUCCCACUCGUUCUUCGGAACGUAAAAAUCGCGAUCGCGGUAGGUAGUGGGUAGAACGACGCUCUUGUGCACGCGCUCUCCUUAUCGAUCUCGUCAACACGACGCGACGCGCUCAAUGUAAAUAUAAUAUCAUACAUGUACGUGUGGUGCGCGUAUAUCUACGUGCGUGCGUGUUGAAUAAUAACGUCGCGGACCGUACGCGUCGAGUGGCCCGUCUCGCGAGUCCC